CACGUAGGGCGCAAGCGUUGUCCGGAAUCAUUGGGCGUAAAGAGCGUGUAGGCGGCCAGAAAAGUCCGCUGUGAAAACUCGAGGCUCAACUUCGAGCUGUCGGUGGAAACUUUCUGGCUAGAGUCCGGAAGAGGAGAAUGGAAUUCCUGGUGUAGCGGUGAAAUGCGCAGAUAUCAGGAAGAACACCCGUGGCUAAGGCGGCUCUCUAGUACGGUACUGACGCUGAGACGCGGAAGCGUGGGGAGCGAACAGG
rnacentral:rRNA from 1 species